AGCAGUCGCCGCGGGAAAACGGAGGGUGCAAGCGUUAUCCGGAUUUAUUGGGUUUAAAGGGUCCGUAGGCGGACUUAUAAGUCAGUGGUGAAAGCCUGUCGCUUAACGAUAGAACUGCCAUUGAUACUGUAAGUCUUGAGUAUAUUUGAGGUAGCUGGAAUAAGUAGUGUAGCGGUGAAAUGCAUAGAUAUUACUUAGAACACCAAUUGCGAAGGCAGGUUACCAAGAUAUAACUGACGCUGAGGGACGAAAGCGUGGGUAGCGAACAGGAUUAGAUACCCCGGUAGUCCCUGUCUCUUAUAC
rnacentral:rRNA from 1 species